rnacentral:rRNA from 1 species
UGGGGAAUUUUGGACAAUGGGCGAAAGCCUGAUCCAGCAAUGCCGCGUGCAGGAAGAAGGCCUUCGGGUUGUAAACUGCUUUUGUACGGAACGAAAAGGCUCUUUCUAAUAAAGAGGGCCCAUGACGGUACCGUAAGAAUAAGCACCGGCUAACUACGUGCCAGCAGCCGCGGUAAUACGUAGGGUGCGAGCGUUAAUCGGAAUUACUGGGCGUAAAGCGUGCGCAGGCGGUUCUAUAAGACAGAUGUGAAAUCCCCGGGCUCAACCUGGGAAUGGCAUUUGUGACUGUAGAGCUAGAGUACGGUAGAGGGGGAUGGAAUUCCGCGUGUAGCAGUGAAAUGCGUAGAUAUGCGGAGGAACACCGAUGGCGAAGGCAAUCCCCUGGACCUGUACUGACGCUCAUGCACGAAAGCGUGGGGAGCAAACAGGAUUAGAUACCCACGUAGUCCCUGAGCGGGCUGGCAAGGCGCAU